UACGAAGGGAGCUAGCGUUUUUCGGAUUUAUUGGGCGUAAAGAGCGCGUAGGCUGCUAAUUAAGUUGAAAGUGAAAGCCCAAAGCUUAACUUUGGAAUUGCUUUCAAAACUGAUUAGCUAGAGUUUGGUAGGGGAUGAUGGAAUUCUUGGUGUAGGGGUGAAAUUCUUAGAUAUCAGGAGGAACACCGGUGGCGAAGGCGAUCAUCUGGGCCAUAACUGACGCUAAUGCGCGAAAGCGUGGGGAGCAAAC
rnacentral:rRNA from 1 species